rnacentral:rRNA from 1 species
GUCCACGCCGUAAACGAUGAAUGCCAGACGUCGGGCAGCAUGCUGUUCGGUGUCACACCUAACGUAUUAAGCAUUCCGCCUGGGAGUACGGUCGCAAGAUUAAAACUCAAAGGAAUUGACGGGGCCCGCACAAGCGGUGGAGCAUGUGGUUUAAUUCGAAGCAACGCGCAGAACCUUACCAACCCUUGACAUCGUAGGACAGCUCCAGAGAUGGAGUCUUCUCGUAAGAGACCUACAGACAGGUGCUGCAUGGCUGUCGU